UACGUAGGUCCCGAGCGUUGUCCGGAUUUAUUGGGCGUAAAGCGAGCGCAGGUGGUUUAUUAAGUCUGGUGUAAAAGGCAGUGGCUCAACCAUUGUAUGCUUUGGAAACUGUUCAACUUGAGUGCAGAAGGGGAGAGUGGAAUUCCAUGUGUAGCGGUGGAAUGCGUAGAUAUAUGGAGGAACACCGGUGGCGAAAGCGGCUCUCUGGUCUGUAACUGACGCUGAGGCUCGAAAGCGUGGGUAGCGAACAGG
rnacentral:rRNA from 1 species